AGUCAGUUGAAGCCGUUGAAGAACAGCGUGAAGAUGGAACCUGCUACUGAGCACAUCAACUCUUAAGUGUGUCCCUGGAAGAUCUACCAUCAACUUCCAGAACUGCAACUGCUAGUACUGUCAGAUGGUGAAUGCUACUCAGGCAAACACCAUUGUUACACCACUUUGAAGGAGAGCCUGGUCAUUUGGUCCCCUCAGCUUCUCCCUUUCUCAGUGAUAUGUUCAUUGUGGCUGGGAUAAUUGUGGGGCACUCUUUCCUUCAUGGAGGACCCUGCUUGUCUGGACUCUGUGAUGUGGUUGUCCAUACUGCUUCGUGGGAGCCCAGACACGGCUACAGUAAACCUGGAGGACUGUGCAGACCUGGACAUUAGAGAAACAAUCAGGUUUCUGGAGGUGGAAUCAAACCUAUCAGCUGAAGAAAUGGGAAGGGUACAGAACGUGGCCUCUUCCUGGGACCUCCCUCCGCUAACCACAACCAACAGGGCCCUUAAUGCUCUGCGGUGAAAAAUGGAGCAACAAGGCUGACCGUGACAUCGGGAGAGCUGAGGCAGAUCAUCUUAAACAUGAUGCACCUGGACGGUCCGGUGGCGGAGACUUCAAGAAUUAAAUAAAAUUACAAUGAAAUGGAUAA